GAUGUCAUGGAAACAGAAGAGGAAGAGGGUCACAGCCACUUUUUUCUGGCCCAAGAUGUCUUUGAACUAGAAGAGAAAUAUCUGGGGACUUUCCCCAGGGAACCCUAGAGCCUUAUUUUCUGCAGCCAUUACUGUGGCUCACGUUCUUUGGUUACAGCUCCAGAGUGGUGAGGCCUGAAAGACUCAGAUUCCUUAAUCUGAUUAUUACGUGUGCCAACAGGCGGAUUCUUUACCACUGUGUCGCCUCGGAAGCCCAUGUGAGGAGCAACACAACUUGGAAAAGGUGGUCAGGGAAGAACUCUGAUAAAGAGACAUUUGAACAGAGCAUUUUGCAAACCGUGGGGCUGGAAAUCCAGGCCUGACUCCGCUGGCCACUCGGAUCUCUUGUCUGGACUCGGAUGAACGUGUUCAAGAUCCGCAGACCUGCCUGGGGGAGCCUGAGCUGGAUCCCAACAUUUGUGCGACCUCGUGCUUGACUGGCUCCCAGUAACCCACCUGUUAAAUGGGACCUAAAGGGCUGUUUGGUGAUUAAAUGAUAUACUGUGUACGCGUGUGUGGACUUUACACCUGUGGGCAGUGUGCUAAUUUAAAAGCACCUUCUCAGUGUGAGUCUUGCAGAAACUGUGUGGCUUCCAGUACAGCGUAAGCUGGACCCCCUUCAGGAGGAGGUAGCUUUUGAGUUGAGAAGGCAGCUAACCCGGGGACGGAGGGGGUUGGAGCCGUGCAGCUGGGGCAGGUGACUGCAGAAGCAGAGUGACUGGAAGGGCUGAGGGUGGUAGCGAAUGCCAUCUUGCCCUUUCUCUCCCAAGCCCCAGCUCUCUUUCUCUCCUCAAGGAAGCACAAUGACAGCAGGGUCACCUUGAAUGCAGUAUUAGUGCAUGUAUAAAAAUCAUUAGCAAAUGUGAUCCUUCGUUAUUAGUAACAGAUAAUUUGAGUUAUACCACAUACUGCUCGGACAGUGAUGCUCCUUGAGGACAGGGGCCAGGUUUUAUUUACUAAUUGUAUUAUCACUUUUAAUUUCUGGCAUGUUGGUGCAUUGUAAGUUAUCAGGAAAUGUUUAAUAAAUGACUAACCAGUUUGGACACUCCCUUCUUCUCCACU
rnacentral:lncRNA from 1 species